rnacentral:lncRNA from 1 species
CACAAGGAGAGGUCGUGUGUGGAGUUCUGGGUGACAGUCCCACCGGGGGUCCCCACCAACAGACACAUGAGUGAGGAAACACUCAAGGUGAUCCCAGGCACAGCCGCCAUCCGAUGGCAAUGCGGGAGACCCGAGCAGGAGUCGCUCGGCGAGCAGUGCCUGGCUGAGCCCAGCCAGCCUCGCGAGCCACGAGAGGCGGCAGUAACGGAACUGUUGCUGUUUUCAGUCACUAAGUUCUGAGAUAAUACGUCAUGCAACAAAGGACGGCCAGAACACCUGAGCACCUCUGUGCUGCUUACGAAAUGAAGCAACAGCAGCACCUGCUCCACAGGUUACUGUGAGCAGAAACGAGUGACCCAGGGGAGACCCCAGGGCAGGGCUGAUACAAGGUUGACAGAUGUUAGCUACAGUUGUUACUACUGUGAGUCCAAACCAUAACAAAAGGACGAGCCAGAGACAGAACAGCCCCUUUAGCUCAGUUCCCAAAUGACACUGGAUGACUCGCCCCUCUUCUCCCCGGAGACCGAGAAUGAGCCACGAGAACCUGGCCGCAGAGUGGCUUCGAUCUGGAGCACACUCUUAGUGACCUCCGUCCUGUGGGGUAAAUGUACAUCCUAUUAAGUUAGCCCUCCUCCCCAGCCCCAGAGGGACAGCUUUCCUUCUGCGUGGAUGAAGGCCUCGGAGCUACAAGUGUCUGUGGUGCUGUCUGCUCCCUGCAGUCAGGGAACCUUCACGGAGAGCGUCUGUCGCUUGACCACCCCUCCAUGGUUCUCAAACUUCAGCAUCAUAAAAUCACCUGGAAGCUUGGGAAGCUGGAGAUUCCGAGAGCACUGCCUGCAGAGUCUGGUCCAGAAGGUGGAGUCAAGGAAUCUGCAUUUGAGUAUCCAACUGGGAGCUUCCAGUUGAUUCUCCCACUGGGUGUUCUGGUCCCUGGUGAGCCUCACUAGGUGGCUCUUGGUUCACAGUUUGAGAAAGCUUUUGUCCAGAGGACUGAGAAAUGGUGGUUUGGUCUUAAUUCUGCUACUUGCUAGGUGACCCAGGACAGGUCACUUUUAUUGUC